rnacentral:rRNA from 1 species
AGAAUCAACGCUGGCGGCGUGCCUAACACAUGCAAGUCGCACGAGAAAGGGGACUUCGGUCCCUGAGUACAGUGGCGCACGGGUGAGUAACACGUGAAUCAUCUACCUUCGAGUGGGGAAUAAACUGAGAGAAAUCUUAGCUAAUACCGCAUAAUACCCACGGGUCAAAGCAGCAAUGCGCUUGAAGAGGAGUUCGCGGCAGAUUAGUUAGUUGGCGGGUAAUGGCCCACCAAGACGAUGAUCUGUAU